UCCGUAGGGUGCGAGCGUUGUCCGGAAUUACUGGGCGUAAAGAGCUCGUAGGUGGUUUGUCGCGUUGUCCGUGAAAACUCACAACUCAAUUGUGGGCGUGCGGGCGAUACGGGCAGACUGGAGUACUGCAGGGGAGACUGGAAUUCCUGGUGUAGCGGUGGAAUGCGCAGAUAUCAGGAGGAACACCGGUGGCGAAGGCGGGUCUCUGGGCAGUAACUGACGCUGAGGAGCGAAAGCGUGGGGAGCGAACAGG
rnacentral:rRNA from 1 species